GACGAACGCUGGCGGCGUGCUUAACACAUGCAAGUCGAACGGUGAACUCCGCUUGCGGGGGGAUCAGUGGCGCACGGGUGAGUAACACGUGGGCAACCUGCCCUCAGCUCUGGGAUAACUCCAAGAAAUUGGGGCUAAUACCGGAUAUGACCGCUGACCGCAUGGUCUGGUGGUGGAAAGAUUUAUCGGCUGGGGAUGGGCCCGCGGCCUAUCAGCUUGUUGGUGGGGUAGUGGCCUGCCAAGGCGACGACGGGUAGCCGGCCUGAGAGGGUGACCGGCCACACUGGGACUGAGACACGGCCCAGACUCCUACGGGAGGCAGCAGUGGGGAAUAUUGCGCAAUGGGCGAAAGCCUGACGCAGCGACGCCGCGUGGGGGAUGACGGCCUUCGGGUUGUAAACCUCUUUCAGCAGGGACGAAGCGAAAGUGACGGUACCUGCAGAAGAAGCACCGGCCAACUACGUG
rnacentral:rRNA from 1 species